AACGAACGCUGGCGGCAUGCCUAACACAUGCAGGUCGAACGAGACCUUCGGGUCUAGUGGCGCACGGGUGCGUAACGCGUGGGAAUCUGCCCUUGGGUUCGGAAUAACAGUUGGAAACGACUGCUAAUACCGGGUGAUGACGUAAGUCCAAAGAUUUAUCGCCCAAGGAUGAGCCCGCGUAGGAUUAGCUAGUUGGUGAGGUAAAGGCUCACCAAGGCGACGAUCCUUAGCUGGUCUGAGAGGAUGAUCAGCCACACUGGGACUGAGACACGGCCCAGACUCCUACGGGAGGCAGCAGUGGGAAUAUUGGACAAUGGGCGAAAGCCUGAUCCAGCAAUGCCGCGUGAGUGAUGAAGGCCUUAGGGUUGUAAAGCUCUUUUACCCGGGAUGAUAAUGACAGUACCGGGAGAAUAAGCUCCGGCUAACUCCGUGCCAGCAGCCGCGGUAAU
rnacentral:rRNA from 1 species